UACUACAUACACACAUGGAUAUGAAACAGGAAGUCGGUAUCCAAUUAACUCUUUGAAGUUCACCUGUAAACGUCAUAACCAGCAUAGCUCUAUCCUUGGCGCUUUUCUCUCUGUCUAUGUUUUCAAGAAUUUUCUUUACUCACUUAUUUUUGUGAAAGAAGGCCUCAUGUUUACAUGACAAAAUUAGAAGACCUCCAUUUUUAUUUGUAACCACCUUUUCUAGACUCUCGAACGGAGUUAGCUAGUAAGUCUUGGAAUCAUAAUAGUGUAUUGUUUGUUACAUGGACUGAAACUAUUCUCGUGUCAAUGUAAUGAGAAAUGACUGAGAUAAUAGCCAAAAACUAGUUUUUUUAAUAUUAAUUUUGUAACCACCUUUUUGAGACUUCUGCACCAGGUAUGAACAAGUUACUACUUUGAGUGUAUUCAUUAAGGCCUCUUAUAUAGACUGUUUAUGGUUUCAUUUUUCUAGAUGCUAUGUUUCAAAAGUAAUAAUAUAUUUUUUGCAAGUGUUUCAAAGGGUGUGGUUUA